GAUGAACGCUGGCGGCGUGCCUAAUACAUGCAAGUCGAGCGAACAGAUGAGGAGCUUGCUCCUCUGACGUUAGCGGCGGACGGGUGAGUAACACGUGGAUAACCUACCUAUAAGACUGGGAUAACUUCGGGAAACCGGAGCUAAUACCGGAUAAUAUAUUUAACCGCAUGGUUCAAUAGUGAAAGACGGUUUUGCUGUCACUUAUAGAUGGAUCCGCGCCGCAUUAGCUAGUUGGUAAGGUAACGGCUUACCAAGGCAACGAUGAGUAGCCGACCUGAGAGGGUGAUCGGCCACACUGGAACUGAGAAACGGUCCAGACUCCAACGGGAGGCAGAAGUAGGGAAUCUUCCGCAAUGGGCGAAAGCCUGACGGAGAAACGCCGCGUGAGUGAUGAAGGUCUUCGGAUCGUAAAACUCUGUUAUUAGGGAAGAACAAAUGUGUAAGUAACUAUGCACGUCUUGACGGUACCUAAUCAGAAAGCCACGGCUAACUACGUG
rnacentral:rRNA from 1 species